UACGUAGGGGGCGAGCGUUGUCCGGAUUCAUUGGGCGUAAAGAGCGUGUAGGCGGUUCGGUAGGUCCGUUGUGAAAACUCGAGGCUCAACCUCGAGACGCCGAUGGAAACCAUCGAACUAGAGUCCGGAAGAGGAGAGUGGAAUUCCUGGUGUAGCGGUGAAAUGCGCAGAUAUCAGGAAGAACACCCGUGGCUAAGGCGGCUCUCUAGUACGGUACUGACGCUGAGACGCGAAAGCGUGGGGAGCGAACAGG
rnacentral:rRNA from 1 species